CACGUAGUUAGCCGUGACUUUCUAAGUAAUUACCGUCAAAUAAAGGCCAGUUACUGCCUCUAUCUUUCUUCACUACCAACAGAGCUUUACGAGCCGAAACCCUUCUUCACUCACGCGGCGUUGCUCCAUCAGACUUUCGUCCAUUGUGGAAGAUUCCCUACUGCUGCCUCCCGUAGGAGUUUGGGCCGUGUCUCAGUCCCAAUGUGGCCGAUCAGUCUCUCAACUCGGCUAUGCAUCAUUGCCUUGGUAAGCCGUUACCUUACCAACUAGCUAAUGCACCGCAGGUCCAUCCAAGAGUGAUAGCAGAACCAUCUUUCAAACUCUAGACAUGCGUCUAGUGUUGUUAUCCGGUAUUAGCAUCUGUUUCCAGGUGUUAUCCCAGUCUCUUGGGCAGGUUACCCACGUGUUACUCACCCGUCCGCCGCUCGCUUGUAUCUAGUUUCAUUUAGUGUCAGCACUAAAAUCAUCUAGGCAAGCUCGCUCGACUUG
rnacentral:rRNA from 1 species